GAUGAACGCUGGCGGCGUGCUUAACACAUGCAAGUCGAACGGGAAUUAUUUUAUUGAACCUCCGGUCGAUUUAAUUUAAUUCUAGUGGCGGACGGGUGAGUAACGCGUGGGUAACCUGCCUUAUACAGGGGGAUAACAGUCAGAAAUAGCUGCUAAUACCGCAUAAGCGCACAGAGCUGCAUGGCUCAGUGUGAAAAACUCCGGUGGUAUAAGAUGGACCCGCGUUGGAUUAGCUGGUUGGUGGGGUAACGGCCCACCAAGGCGACGAUCCAUAGCCGGCCUGAGAGGGUGAACGGCCACAUUGGGACUGAGACACGGCCCAGACUCCUACGGGAGGCAGCAGUGGGGAAUAUUGCACAAUGGGGGAAACCCUGAUGCAGCGACGCCGCGUGAAGGAAGAAGUAUCUCGGUAUGUAAACUUCUAUCAGCAGGGAAGAUAGUGACGGUACCUGACUAAGAAGCCCCGGCUAACUACGUG
rnacentral:rRNA from 1 species